rnacentral:lncRNA from 1 species
GCGCUCUCUUCCACCCAGCAAACAGCGACAGUAGGGACUUCCACAGCACUUCCCCGCCACCCGUUUCAAAAGUAACGACGCAGCAGGCCGUCGGGCCCUUUGCGCAGGCGCGAUGAACCUCUAGGUCCCGCCCCACGGAGCCGGGACUGGCCAGUCCUCUCUGUGCUCGCCUGAGCUGUUUUCUCGCGCAGGCGCAGUGGGUAGGCGUGGUCACGCAUUUCCGGGUACUCACGCUCUGGAGCGUCCCAGUCUGGCUCCUCUAGUGAGUCAGAAUUCUGGCAUAAGACUGGUAGAGCAUUAUGCCCACCUUACUACAAAUAAAAAUUGCCUCUCUAAGGAGUUUUAUAUUAGUACUCAGGACUGCAGGAAAAUUUCAUGGAAGAACCCAAGACAUUUUCAAAUUGGAGAACCGAUUGGAUGGAUGAGAAGGGAAACCAAACACAGGAGCCCAAAGACAUGUCAGAGGCUUAUACGUGUGUUUUCCCAUCUAUCCAACCAGUCUGCCCAGGUGGUUAGCUGCCCUGUGGGAUAGAGAAGCUUAGAGGUUUUAUGUGCUCAAGGUAAGGAAUUAAGAAUAGAGGCUCUUUGUCCUCAUAAUGUAAUGUGUUCUCUGGCUAAAUGCGCAAAUAAGCACUGUAUAUGUAAAGGUGAAAUAUUAGGCCAUGACAGCUCUAAUUUUCAUAAAUUAAAAAAACUUUUAAUGUUUUAUUUAUUUUUGAGAGAGAGACACACACACGUGGAACAUGAGUGGGGGAGAGGCAGAGAAAGAGGGAGACACAGAAUCUGAAACAGGCUCUAGGCUCCAAGCUGUCAGCACAGAGCCCAACAUGGGACUCCAACUCAUUGACUGCGAGAUCAUGACCUGAACUGAAGCUGGACACUCUACUGACUGAGUCACCCAGGAACCCUGUCAGCUCUAGUUUUUAAAAUAGUCUGUUAACAAUCUAAAUAAUAACAUAGGGCUUAAUUUUAAGAAUAUGUAAUAUAACUUAUUUUAUAUUUUUGCUUACCCCAGUUUUGAUUGAGUAGGUUACUG